AUCCUUGAUAUCUUUCAUUUUUAUGAUUUGUCCUUUUGCACCAUUGCUUCGAACUUCUUUAGGUUUGUGGUAGAUUUUUUGAUUCUUUGUAUCAUGGCUAAUUUCUGGCCAUCUUUUUAUCUCUUUCACUCUUUUUUCACCAUCAAGAGGCAUCCUUACUCCAAGAAUUGAUAGUACUUUUCUUUCCAAAGGAGAUUUCUCCUCUAAUCAAGGGUGCUCCAUCUUCUGCCAGAUCGACUCCAGAGGUGAGUACUGCAGUUGUCUAGCUUAUUCAUCUUUUUCUUAAAAGUUGCUGACCAAGUUCGGCUGUCCUUAGAGAUGAGGUCGGAAGAUAUCGCCAAGAUGAAACGAAACCUUCCAAAGAAGAAGAAGGCUCCCAUGCCCAAAGAUGCCUCCAAGAAGCCGGUGACCCAUCGAGGAAAGGCUACGGAUAAAGGUGGCUCAAUGAUUGAGAUCAUAGUUGUCUUAGUGACUCCCACUCCUUCAAGUUUGUCUCCCCUAGUCCCAGCUUCAAUUUCUAUGGUCGUUCCUGAAGAAAAUAUGCAGUAGUGCUAUGCAUGUGAUUUUAAAAUUUUUAUAUAGUGAAAAUAAAAGAUUAAAUAAUUUAAUCCUAAUCACAUGCAUAAGAUCUAAUCUUAGACUACUACAUCAUAAUAUUAUGCUGAACUCUGUC
rnacentral:lncRNA from 1 species